CGGCAGGCUUACACAUGCAAGUCGAGCGGGGUGAUGGUGCUUGCACUAUCACUUAGCGGCGGACGGGUGAGUAAUGCUUAGGAAUCUGCCUAUUAGUGGGGGACAACAUCUCGAAAGGGAUGCUAAUACCGCAUACGUCCUACGGGAGAAAGCAGGGGAUCACUUGUGACCUUGCGCUAAUAGAUGAGCCUAAGUCGGAUUAGCUAGUUGGUGGGGUAAAGGCCUACCAAGGCGACGAUCUGUAGCGGGUCUGAGAGGAUGAUCCGCCACACUGGGACUGAGACACGGCCCAGACUCCUACGGGAGGCAGCAGUGGGGAAUAUUGGACAAUGGGGGGAACCCUGAUCCAGCCAUGCCGCGUGUGUGAAGAAGGCCUUAUGGUUGUAAAGCACUUUAAGCGAGGAGGAGGCUCUUUUGGUUAAUACCCAAGAUGAGUGGACGUUACUCGCAGAAUAAGCACCGGCUAACUCUGUGCCAGCAGCCGCGGUAAUACAGAGGGUGCAAGCGUUAAUCGGAUUUACUGGGCGUAAAGCGCGCGUAGGCGGCCAAUUAAGUCAAAUGUGAAAUCCCCGAGCUUAACUUGGGAAUUGCAUUCGAUACUGGUUGGCUAGAGUGUGGGAGAGGAUGGUAGAAUUCCAGGUGUAGCGGUGAAAUGCGUAGAGAUCUGGAGGAAUACCGAUGGCGAAGGCAGCCAUCUGGCCUAACACUGACGCUGAGGUGCGAAAGCAUGGGGAGCAAACAGGAUUAGAUACCCUGGUAGUCCAUGCCGUAAACGAUGUCUACUAGCCGUUGGGGCCUUUGAGGCUUUAGUGGCGCAGCUAACGCGAUAAGUAGACCGCCUGGGAGUACGGUCGCAAGACUAAAACUCAAAUGAAUUGACGGGGGCCCGCACAAGCGGUGGGAGCAUGUGUUUUAAUUCGAUGCAACGCGAAGACCUUACCUGGCCUUGACAUAGUAG
rnacentral:rRNA from 1 species